rnacentral:misc_RNA from 1 species
GUCUUUUGGUUAUUAUUAUUGGGUAUGUUGAUUGGAAGAAAGGUUGAAAAAAAGGGGGGUUGUUUUUUUUUGGUAAAAAAUAAUAGGGCGCUCCUCCCCCCUAAAGGGGAGGAAACACCCUACAGGUGCGACAAAGGGGUGUGGGAAAAAAGGACAGUGGUGUUCACUGAUGAUCCUUCCGCAGGUUCACCUACGGAAA